UUUCCGAGACUACGUAGACAUUUGCUUUGAUCGAUUGGGGAAGUAUGUGAAGUAUUGGAUCACCUUUAACGAGCCAUAUGAAUUCAUCACUUUUGGAUAUGUUGAUGGCGUCUCUCCUCCUGUCAAUUUGGAGGAUCCUGGGAUAAACCCAUAUAUAGUGGCCCACAACUUGCUCCGUGCUCAUGCAGCUGCAGUGGAUCUCUACAGGAACAACUACCAGGACUUCCAAGGAGG